rnacentral:rRNA from 1 species
GGCGGCAUGCUUAACACAUGCAAGUCNANCGGCAGCACGAUGUGUAGCAAUACACAUGGGUGGCGAGUGGCGGACGGGUGAGUAACGCGUAGGAAUCUGCCUUGGAGCGGGGGACAACCCGAGGAAACUCGGGCUAAUACCGCAUAGAUUCGAGAGAGGAAAGCUGGGUGGAAACAUCUGGCGCUCUGAGAGGAGCCUGCGUCCGAUUAGCUAGUUGGUAGGGUAAAGGCCUACCAAGGCGAAGAUCGGUAGCUGGUCUGAGAGGAUGAUCAGCCACACUGGGACUGAGACACGGCCCAGACUCCUACGGGAGGCAGCAGUGGGGAAUAUUGGACUAUGGGGGCAACCCUGAUCCAGCAAUGCCGCGUGUGUGAAGAAGGCCUUCGGGUUGUAAAGCACUUUUGGCAGUGAGGAAGUCAUGCAUUUUAAGAGAUAGCAUGAUUGACUGUAGCUGCAGAAUAAGCACCGGCUAACUCUGUGCCAGCAGCCGCGGUAAUACAGAGGGUGCGAGCGUUAAUCGGAAUGACUGGGCGUAAAGGGCGCGUAGGCGGUAAUGUAAGUGAGAUGUGAAAUCCCUGGGCUUAACCUAGGAACUGCAUCUCAUACUGCAAGGCUAGAGUAUU